GGCCUUUUGAUUAUAAUUUAAGGUCGGGCCUGCCCAAUGAAAAUUUUAAUGGCCGCGGUAUAUUAACUGUGCAAAGGUAGCAUAAUCAUUAGUUUUUUAAUUGAAAGCUGGAAUGAAGGGUUUAAUGAAAAAAGUUCUGUCUCUAUUUAAAUUUAUUAGAAUUUUAUUUUUAAGUUAAAAAGCUUAAAUAAUUAUUGAAGACGAGAAGACCCUAUAGAGUUUUAUAUUUAUAAAAAUUACUGUAUUUGGUAAAUUUUAACUUAAUUUUUGAAAAUAUUUAGUUGGGGUGAUUGAAAAAUUGAACGAACUUUUUCUUUUUAGAACAUAAAUUUAUGGGCAGAUGAUCCUUUUUUUAGAUUAAAAGAGCAAAUUACCUUAGGGAUAACAGCGUAAUUUUUUUUAGAGUUCUUAUCAAAAAAAAAGAUUGCGACCUCGAUGUUGGAUUAAAAUAAGUUCUUGGUGCAGAAGCUAAAGAACUGGGUCUGUUCGACCUUUGAAUUUUUACAUGAUCUGAGUUUAGACCGGUUUGAG
rnacentral:rRNA from 1 species